rnacentral:tRNA from 1 species
GGAUCGCUAGCUCAGUUGGCUAGAGCAUCUCGUUUACACCGAGAGGGUCGGGGGUUCGAGUCCCUCGCGAUCCACCA